GGAUUAGAUACCCUGGUAGUCCACGCCGUAAACGUUGGGUGCUCGUCGUCGCGGGUAUUGACCCCUGCGGUGACCAAGUUAACGCAAUAAGCACCCCGCCUGGGAAGUACGGUCGCAAGACUAAAACUCAAAGAAAUUGACGGGGGCCCGCACAAGCGGUGGAGCAUGUGGUUUAAUUCGAAGCAACGCGCAGAACCUUACCUGGAUUUGACAUCUACGGAAUCUCUUCGAAAGAUGAGAGUGCCUUCGGGAGCCGUAAGACAGGUGCUGCAUGGCUGUCGUCAGCUCGUGCUG
rnacentral:rRNA from 1 species